GGGCACCUACGGGGGCCUUUACCACAUAGGCCUCGCAAGAGGCCGCCAAGCAAACGGAAGAAGCUA
ncrna:unclassified sequences L2-Alphaproteobacteria ribosomal protein leader